rnacentral:rRNA from 1 species
GACGAACGCUGGCGGCGUGCUUAACACAUGCAAGUCGAACGGACCCUUUGGGGUUAGUGGCGAACGGGUGAGUAACACGUGGGUGAUCUGCCCUGCACUUUGGGAUAAGCCUGGGAAACUGGGUCUAAUACCGGAUAGGACUACGCACUGCAUGGUGUGUGGUGGAAAGCUUUUGCGGUGUGGGAUGGGCCCGCGGCCUAUCAGCUUGUUGGUGGGGUGAUGGCCUACCAAGGCGACGACGGGUAGCCGGCCUGAGAGGGUGACCGGCCACACUGGGACUGAGAUACGGCCCAGACUCCUACGGGAGGCAGCAGUGGGGAAUAUUGCACAAUGGGCGCAAGCCUGAUGCAGCGACGCCGCGUGAGGGAUGACGGCCUUCGGGUUGUAAACCUCUUUCGCCAGGGACGAAGCGCAAGUGACGGUACCUGGAGAAGAAGGACCGGCCAACUACGUGCCAGCAGCCGCGAUAAUACGUAGGGUCCGAGCGUUGUCCGGAAUUACUGGGCGUAAAGAGCUCGUAGGUGGUUUGUCGCGUUGUUCGUGAAAACUCACAGCUUAACUGUGGGCGUGCGGGCGAUACGGGCAGACUGGAGUACUGCAGGGGAGACUGGAAUUCCUGGUGUAGCGGUGGAAUGCGCAGAUAUCAGGAGGAACACCGGUGGCGAAGGCGGGUCUCUGGGCAGUAACUGACGCUGAGGAGCGAAAGCGUGGGGAGCGAACAGGAUUAGAUACCCUGGUAGUCCACGCCGUAAACGGUGGGUACUAGGUGUGGGUUUCCUUCCUUGGGAUCCGUGCCGUAGCUAACGCAUUAAGUACCCCGCCUGGGGAGUACGGCCGCAAGGCUAAAACUCAAAGGAAUUGACGGGGGCCCGCACAAGCGGCGGAGCAUGUGGAUUAAUUCGAUGCAACGCGAAGAACCUUACCUGGGUUUGACAUGCACAGGACGCCGGCAGAGAUGUCGGUUCCCUUGUGGCCUGUGUGCAGGUGGUGCAUGGCUGUCGUCAGCUCGUGUCGUGAGAUGUUGGGUUAAGUCCCGCAACGAGCGCAACCCUUGUCUCAUGUUGCCAGCACGUUAUGGUGGGGACUCGUGAGAGACUGCCGGGGUCAACUCGGAGGAAGGUGGGGAUGACGUCAAGUCAUCAUGCCCCUUAUGUCCAGGGCUUCACACAUGCUACAAUGGCCGGUACAAAGGGCUGCGAUGCCGUGAGGUGGAGCGAAUCCUUUCAAAGCCGGUCUCAGUUCGGAUCGGGGUCUGCAACUCGACCCCGUGAAGUCGGAGUCGCUAGUAAUCGCAGAUCAGCAACGCUGCGGUGAAUACGUUCCCGGGCCU